UUGACGGGUUCCCAGUGUGACAUUAAUAUUUAACUCACAGUUUCGGCUGGACUUAUUUUUCAUUACUGUGAAUACUCUUGGCUUUCAUUUUAUGCGGCAUUUCCAUGUUAUGCAUCUCAGUACACGAAGCUGUCAUAUCGGUUAGAUUAUUCUAUUCAUACCUCACAGAGGCAUGGGCCGUUCAUAGAAUUGGGCAUGACUGCGGCACGGGAUCAAGAUUAAACACAAAAUGGAGAUCAUUGAGCUGCCUAACCAUGGGAUUUUUCUUACCUCUGUGGCUGCCAUUGGGAGAGAUCUUUGUCCACCUUCCCAGCAGUUAACAUGGUAGGAAUGUGGCAGUAGCAGGCUCUAUGUAUGGCUUGCGAUGGGAACCCAACAAAUCCCCUUUAUCACUGUGUGAACUGCUGCAAAACUAUUUCUAAUUUCAACCUGAUUUUCAAAGCCUCUCACUGUCAGACAGCAAGAUUACAAGAUUAUUCAACGCAGAGAUGACCACUUUUGAGUUUCUACCCCACCAUUUUGCUGUCUUUAUAUGAGUUAUUAAAUCUCACAUAAAGUCACUGGUGUACAUGACAAACCAUGACCUGAAUCUCCUCAGCCCCAUUCAUCUUUAGUUCAAAGAGGAGAUUUUUCAACCUUUGAGUGUCCCCGGCUUAUCUCCCAUUGGAGACUGCGAUAUGUUUUAAUGACUGAUAUGCACCCAUUUCGAUCAAAACAUUUAACUGCAGGUUAAAUAAGGUGUCUAGGCCCUGGGACAAAAAUAUUAAGCAAUGGUUAGCAUCAAAAUAG